GCGCGUAAAUUGCCCGAAUCCUGACACAGGGAGGUAGUGACAAGAAAUAACAAUACAGGGCUACAUCUAGUCUUGUAAUUGGAAUGAGUACAAUUUACAUCUCUUCACGAUGAUCAAUUGGAGGGCAAGUCUGGUGCCAGCAGCCGCGGUAAUUCCAGCUCCAAUAGCGUAUAUUAAAGUUGUUGCAGUUAGAACGCUCGUAGUCGGAUUUCGGGGCGGGCCGACCGGUCUGCCGAUGGGUACGCACUGGUCGGCGCGUCCUUCCUUCCGGAGACCGUGCCUACUCUUAACUGAGCGGGGGCGGGAGACGGAUCGUUUACUUUGAAAAAAUCAGAGUGUUUCAAGCAGGCAGCUCGCUCUUGCAUGGAUUAGCAAGGGAUAAUGAAAUAGGACUUUGGUGCUAUUUUGUUGGUUUCGAACACCGAAGUAAUGAUUAACAGGGACAGUCAGGGGCACUCGUAUUCC
rnacentral:rRNA from 1 species